CCUACGGGGGGCAGCAGUAAGGAAUAUUGGUCAAUGGACGAAAGUCUGAACCAGCCAUCCCGCGUGCAGGAUGAAAGCCCUAUGGGUUGUAAACUGCUUUUAGCAGAGAAGAAAAGCUUUCAUUAAUGAGAGUCUGACGGUAUCUGCAGAAUAAGCACCGGCUAACUCCGUUCCAGCAGCCGCGGUAAUACGGAGGGUGCGAGCGUUAUCCGGAAUUAAUGGGUUUAAAGGGGUGGUAUAAGGCGGUUUAGAAAUCUUGUCGCUUAACGAUAAAAUUGCAAAUGAUACUGGUACUCUUGAAUUGGGUUGAGGUUAGCGGAAUGUGACAUGUAGCGGUGAAAUGCAUAGAUAUGUCAUGGAACACCAAUUGCGAAGGCAGCUAACUGGGCCUUGAUUGACGCUGAGGCACGAAAGCGUGGGUAGCGAACAGGAUUAGAUACCCCUGUAGUC
rnacentral:rRNA from 1 species